rnacentral:rRNA from 1 species
CCUACGGGCGGCAACAGUGAGGAAUAUUGGUCAAUGGACGAGAGUCUGAACCAGCCAAGUAGCGUGAAGGAUGACUGCCCUAUGGGUUGUAAACUUCUUUUAUAUGGGAAUAAAAUGUUCCACGUGUGGGAUUUUGUAUGUACCAUAUGAAUAAGGAUCGGCUAACUCCGUGCCAGCAGCCGCGGUAAUACGGAGGAUCCGAGCGUUAUCCGGAUUUAUUGGGUUUAAAGGGAGCGUAGGUGGAUUGUUAAGUCAGUUGUGAAAGUUUGCGGCUCAACCGUAAAAUUGCAGUUGAAACUGGCAGUCUUGAGUACAGUAGAGGUGGGCGGAAUUCGUGGUGUAGCGGUGAAAUGCUUAGAUAUCACGAAGAACUCCGAUUGCGAAGGCAGUUCACUGGACUGCAACUGACACUGAGGCUCGAAAGUGUGGGUAUCAAACAGGAUUAGAUACCCUUGUGUC